rnacentral:ncRNA from 1 species
CGUUGUUGCCACAGUAAUCCUGCUCAGUACGAGAGGAACCGCAGAUUCAGACAUUUGGUUCAUGUGCUUGGCUGAUAAGCCAAUGGUGCGAAGCUACCAUCUGAGGGAUUAUGACUGAACGCCUCUAAGUCAGAAUCCCGCCUGGAAAGCGACGAUGCAUUCGUGCCUCGGCCUCGAGAGGCGUAGCUAGACGGCCGCGUGGCCGUGGAAAGAGCCCGAUUCCGACCCGAGAGGCCGCGGCAAGAGGCGGCCUCGAAGUCGGUGGAUCCUCCUGCUCGAAAGGCGGGGUGCUAAACCAUUCGCAGACGACCUAGUUGAAGAUCGGGGUGUCGUGAUCACUAGAGCAGUACAUCUCACUGCGAUUUGUUGAGAGUAAGCCUCAAGAUCUGUCGGUUUGU